rnacentral:lncRNA from 1 species
GCGGGGGCCACAUGGGGCCAGUUUAUUGCAGUUAAAUACCUCUCUCUCUCUAUUUUUUUUGUCAAUUUUUCCAUAAAGAAAAUUAAAACACACACACACACACCCAAAGGGGAGCAGGGACCCAGAAACAAGAGGUGGGGUGGGACGUGGCCUCCCUGCAUAGGUCCAGGCCCCGGGUGGCCCCCCAAAGGCUCCCCUCCUUCCCAUCAGCACCCUGUCUCAGUACCUCCAGAGAGCAGGAGGCAGCGGGACGCGGAAGGGCCUCUGUCCCCCUCCCUCUUGCCUCCAGGUGAGACCACUAGAAGUGCCGGGGCUUAGUGAGGGCCGGGAGAAGGGCAACAGACAGAUGGAUGGGGAGGGAGGAUACCGUUUCCAAGUGGAGGAGGGCGGUGGGCACUGUAUCCACAGAAAUCCAUUAUUUCUCCCCGUUUUUUGUUAAAAAUCUACUAUAAAAAAACGCAGCUGGGGGAGGGGCGUGUGUCCCUCUCUGUGCUAAGGGCUGGGGAAGGGGGCAGCAGAGGCCGGCGUGGGCGGCGGCGGCUGCGCGGUGGUGGCGGGCGUCACUGCCGGGUGCUCUCGCCCACCAUCUCCAGGUUGUGCUGCUGCAGCUGGGCUCGAAGCAGGGCGUUCUCAUUCUUCAGCUCCUCGAUCUGCUGCCUCAGGAGCUCGUUGUCCAUCUGCAGCCGCUCGGCCUCUUUGAAAGUCUCUUGCAUGCGCUGGUUGGUCUGGCGCAACUCCCGGAUGUAAUCGCAGGCCUUGGACAGGAUCCCUCCUUUACUCGCUCCCGUCUUGCUGUUGUCUGCAUUACAGUCUGGAAUGAUUUUCGAAAGCUGGACGAUCCAGUUGUUGAUGUUGUCCCUUCGCCUCCGCUCCACUUCAUUGUGCUGGGCUCUUCUCCUCUCAUCUCGGGGUGUUCUGGUUCCAUCAAUUUUUGGAGAGUAGGGGUGUGUCCGGGGGGCGAUCGUCCUCUGUGUUCCUGUCUGAAGCACAUCCUGGGGCGUCAUCAUGACGUAGAAUUGGCCUCCAGCCUGCAAGCUCUGGUCUGUGGUCUGUACGGACACAGCCGUAGUAUCUCCCACACUGGACGCUGGGAAAUAGGCAAAUCGUGCCUCCCCGCUGACAGCCUCGGCCGCAGGGCUGCCACCAUUGCUGAAGGGAUUUUGGAUCACGGCCAGCGGGAAGGGCGCUGCAGGACCUGGGGGCACAGAGGCAGCGGCGGGGCCCGGGCGCUGGGCUGCGCCGUCCACACCCACCUGGGUCACAGCCUGCUGUCCCCCCGCGAAGGCAGCGGUGGACACGACGCUGACGGCGCCAGUCGUGUCGCCCUGGCCGUCCAGCUGACCAUCAGUCACCUGGACUACGCGGUAUGUCACCUGUCCUCCAUUUGUCUCUGUGCGGAACUGGUACUGGAUGUUGUGGUCGCCGAACGCCGCCUGCUGGACGCUGGUGAUGGCCACCGCUGUCUGCUCCUCCGCUCCUGGGCCGUCCCCGCCUUCCUGCAGCUCGACACCCUCCUCCGCCUCGGGUCCCUUGUCGUGGCUGGCGGCGGCAGCAGCGGUAGCCGAGGCAGCGGGAUCCAGACCCGGGUCCAGCAUGUCCAUGGGGGGGGGCGGGGGCGGGGGGGGCGCGGGGCCCGGGGGGGAGGGGAGGGGAGGGGAGGGAGGGAGGGGAGGGGGCCCUGAA